rnacentral:rRNA from 1 species
CCUACGGGAGGCAGCAGUGGGGAAUAUUGGGCAAUGGGCGCAAGCCUGACCCAGCAACGACGCGUGAAGGAAGAAGGCUUUCGGGUUGUAAACUUCUUUUGACAGGGAAGAGCAGAAGACGGUACCUGUCGAAUAAGCCACGGCUAACUACGUGCCAGCAGCCGCGGUAAUACGUAGGUGGCAAGCGUUGUCCGGAUUUACUGGGGGUAAAGGGCGUGUAGCCGGGCUGACAAGUCAGAUGUGAAAUCCGGGGGCUCAACCCCCGAACUGCAUUUGAAACUGUUGGGCUUGAGUAUCGGAGAGGCAGGCGGAAUUCCUAGUGUAGCGGUGAAAUGCGUAGAUAUUAGGAGGAACACCAGUGGCGAAGGCGGCCUGCUGGACGACAACUGACGGUGAGGCGCGAAAGCGUGGGGAGCAAACAGGAUUAGAUACCCUUGUAGUC